rnacentral:sRNA from 1 species
GGACUGAGUUGUGUUAGAUCGGCUGGCC